GAUGAACGCUGGUGGCGUGCCUAAUACAUGCAAGUCGAGCGAACAGACGAGGAGCUUGCUCCUCUGACGUUAGCGGCGGACGGGUGAGUAACACGUGGAUAACCUACCUAUAAGACUGGGAUAACUUCGGGAAACCGGAGCUAAUACCGGAUAAUAUAUUGAACCGCAUGGUUCAAUAGUGAAAGACGGUUUUGCUGUCACUUAUAGAUGGAUCCGCGCCGCAUUAGCUAGUUGGUAAGGUAACGGCUUACCAAGGCAAUGAUGCGUAGCCGACCUGAGAGGGUGAUCGGCCACACUGGAACUGAGACACGGUCCAGACUCCUACGGGAGGCAGCAGUAGGGAAUCUUCCGCAAUGGGCGAAAGCCUGACGGAGCAACGCCGCGUGAGUGAUGAAGGUCUUCGGAUCGUAAAACUCUGUUAUUAGGGAAGAACAAAUGUGUAAGUAACUAUGCACGUCUUGACGGUACCUAAUCAGAAAGCCACGGCUAACUACGUG
rnacentral:rRNA from 1 species